rnacentral:rRNA from 1 species
CCUACGGGAGGCAGCAGUGAGGAAUAUUGGUCAAUGGACGAGAGUCUGAACCAGCCAAGUAGCGUGAAGGAUGACUGCCCUAUGGGUUGUAAACUUCUUUUAUAUGGGAAUAAAACGUUCCACGUGUGGGAUUUUGUAUGUACCAUAUGAAUAAGGAUCGGCUAACUCCGUGCCAGCAGCAGCGGUAAUACGGAGGAUCCGAGCGUUAUCCGGAUUUAUUGGGUUUAAAGGGAGCGUAGGUGGAUUGUUAAGUCAGUUGUGAAAGUUUGCGGCUCAACCGUAAAAUUGCAGUUGAAACUGGCAGUCUUGAGUACAGUAGAGGUGGGCGGAAUUCGUGGUGUAGCGGUGAAAUGCUUAGAUAGCACGAAGAACUCCGAUUGCGAAGGCAGUUCACUGGACUGCAACUGACACUGAGGCUCGAAAGUGUGGGUAUCAAACAGGAUUAGAUACCCCAGUAGUC